CAGUCGCCGCGGGAACACGGAGGGGGCUAGCGUUGUUCGGAAUUACUGGGCGUAAAGCGCACGUAGGCGGCUUGGUAAGUUAGAGGUGAAAGCCUGGAGCCCAACUCCAGAAUUGCCUUUAAGACUGCCGAGCUAGCAGGUGAGAGAGGUAAGUGGAAUUCCGAGUGUAGAGGUGAAAUUCGUAGAUAUUCGGAAGAACACCAGUGGCGAAGGCGGCUUACUGGCUCAUACUGGACGCUGAGGUGCGAAAGCGUGGGGAGCAAACAGGAUUAGAUACCCGAGUAGUCCCUGUCUCUUAUAC
rnacentral:rRNA from 1 species